rnacentral:rRNA from 1 species
ACUGACGGUACCCAAGGAGGAAGCCCCAGCUAACUACGUGCCAGCAGCCGCGGUAAUACGUAGGGGGCAAGCGUUAUCCGGAAUUAUUGGGCGUAAAGAGUACGUAGGUGGCAACCUAAGCGCAGGGUUUAAGGCAAUGGCUUAACCAUUGUUCGCCCUGCGAACUGGGAUGCUUGAGUGCAGGAGAGGAAAGCGGAAUUCCUAGUGUAGCGGUGAAAUGCGUAGAUAUUAGGAGGAACACCAGUGGCGAAGGCGGCUUUCUGGACUGUAACUGACACUGAGGUACGAAAGCGUGGGGAGCAAACAGGAUUAGAUACCCUGGUAGUCCACGCCGUAAACGAUGAGCACUAGGUGUCGGGGUCGCAAGACUUCGGUGCCGUAGUUAACGCAUUAAGUGCUCCGCCUGGGGAGUACGCACGCAAGUGUG